rnacentral:rRNA from 1 species
GACGAACGCUGGCGGCGUGCUUAACACAUGCAAGUCGAGCGAGAAACUUCGGUUUCUAGCGGCGGACGGGUGAGUAACACGUGGGCAACCUGCCUCACAAUGGGGGAUAGCCUUCCGAAAGGAAGAUUAAAACCGCAUAACACAAAGGAAACGCAUGUUUCUUUUGCCAAAGAAUUUCGUUGUGAGAUGGGCCCGCGGCGCAUUAGCUUGUUGGUGUGGUAACGGCUCACCAAGGCGACGAUGCGUAGCCGACCUGAGAGGGUGAUCGGCCACAUUGGAACUGAGACACGGUCCAGACUCCUACGGGAGGCAGCAGUGGGGAAUAUUGCACAAUGGAGGAAACUCUGAUGCAGCAACGCCGCGUGAGUGAUGAAGGUCUUCGGAUUGUAAAGCUCUGUCUUCUGGGACGAUAAUGACGGUACCAGAGGAGGAAGCCACGGCUAACUACGUGCCAGCCGCCGCAGUAA